rnacentral:lncRNA from 1 species
CAUUUUUGGUGCUCCGUUCUCCUGCUAGUUUAGGUAGGACACCAUGGGAUGUGCGGAAAGGAAUUUACUCCAUCAGAAUAAUGGGCUAGACACCCGUGAUUUAGAAUAAUCUGCCUUUACUCUGACUGCCAGAAGCAAAAGGAAAUUUUCUCUGGAAAAAACUUGCACCCGCAUACUCCGCCUUUUCUCCUGUUUCGACAGACAGCCUCUCUCUGCUCCGAACUAAGGCCAAGCUCAGCAUUUGUGCACUACGUCCCAUCCCCUCUUACUGAGAAGAUUAGCCCUGAGCUAACAUCUGCUGCCAAUCCUCCUCUUUUGGCUGAGGAAGACUGGCCCUGAGCGCACAUCCGUGCCCAUCUUCCUCUACUUUAUGUGUGGGACGCCUACCACAGCAUGGCUUGCCAAGUGGUGCCAUGUCCGCACCAAGGAUCCGAACCAGCGAACCCCAUGCCGCUGAAGCGAAACAUGCGUACUUAACCACUGCACCACCGGGCCAGCCCCACAUCAAUUAUUUUAUAUUGUGUC